UCUAAAUCUCCUCUGCCAGUAUAUUCAUAGUUGCAGUUUUUUUUCGCAAGUGGAACAUGAAAAUAAUGAUUAAUUGAAUUAUUUCAGCAAGUUAACAAUGUAAGUUACUAUAAGGUAGCGUAAUUAUAUAUGUGAUGUACCAUGCCGCGAUUGUUGCACCGAUACUUACGCUAUAUAAUUUCCAAUUUAGCAAAAACCCUAAAUGGUAUAACAGUCCCGUGUGGUGACUGUACAUACGAUAUAAUAGAUACUACGUGAUUUAGUUACAUUAUUAUUUUAAUGGUAAAGUUUAUGUGACAAAGUACCUUCACCGUCUAAGCUGACUAAACUAUCGUCUUACAAAGUUUUAACCAGUAUGUGACUGCGGUUCCUCAAUUCCCCAACGGAGCGACAGCUGACGUCCACGAGGGUUCAUAGCACAUCGCCCUUAGCCCCUUUACGAGUUAUCGCCAUGGAUGCUACUGACGCUACUGUCCCUAGCCCGCAGUCUAUUAUUAGGUUUUAAAUUUUAAGUUAUGUAGGUAGGUACCCGUGUUUCUUGUGAUUUAAACAACAAGUCUUGGUUGGGUUUUUCAACGGGAUUUCGAGUGCUUUUCUUGUUACAGAAUUUGAAAACUCUAAGCGCUUCAGUAAGUUUAGAUGCACUUUGUGACUAGGCUUUUUAUGAGCUUUACACCUAUCUCCGAAGUUUCGAGGCAGGCAUUGUCCCCGUGGUCUCGGAGUCAACAUCUUCUAGUGGCGCGAGGUCGAACUAACCACACUUGGUCUUGUUUAACGAUAAAGUCAUAACGUCUCUAAAAUAUGAAAUGCAAAUAAGAUUGCAUUUUUAAGAUAGUAAAUUUGUUUUCGUUUAAAACUAAACACAAUUUAAUAAGCUAAAAUGUUUACCUAGGUACUUAGGUUAUAAGUCAAAGAUAUUAAUAUUACGUAUAUUUUUACUUUCUCCUACUUCAGAAAACAAAUAAAAAAGAUAAGGGUGGUGCGAUAAAAGUAUGUAAAGAGAUUAAAAUUUUGUUUUAUCUUUAAUUCUCAAAUUAUUUUUUACUGAUAUUACUAAUUUAUAUCGUUGUUUAUAGCUGGUAGGUAAAUAAUUUUUUUAUUUGUAUGAUUUAUUUAGUACAAAACCUAGUGAUUUUUAAGUUUCCUAUAAAAUUACUUAAUGCUAAUUAAUAAAAUGUCUUCAUAUUGUCUUGUGUUAAAUUUAUUUUUUACGACGUUUAGGUGGCCAAAGUUGCCGCGGAGGAAGUAGUCAAGGAAGCAAAACUAAAGGCAAAGCAGCUCAUGUCAGGAACACAUGAAGAGGACUCAGAGUCUCAGAAGAAAACACUAUGCAUUUUCACUCCGGAUAGAAAAUAUUGCGUUGUGCAGGAGAAGGGGUACAACUAAGAAUACAAAAAAAAUCUAAAUAAAGAAUGUUGUUAGUUUUUUUUUAAUCA